CCCGGUAAUUCCAGCUCCAAUAGCGUAUAUUAAAGUUGUUGCAGUUAAAAAGCUCGUAGUUGAAUCUCGGGGUUCUACUGUUGGUCGGGCUUUGUCUGUACUGGCGUGUAGAAUUUCUACCUCCUGGGGAACCAUCAUGUUAUUAAUUUAACGUGGUGGGAAACCAGGACCUUUACCUUGAAAAAAUUAGAGUGUUCAAAGCAGGCUUAUGUCCAUUAGCAUGGAAUAAUAGAAUAGGACGGUGGUCCUGUUUUGUUGGUUCUGAAUCACCGUAAUGAUUAAUAGGGAUAGUCGGGGGCAUUAGUAUUCAAUUGUCAGAGGUGAAAUUCUUGGAUUUAU
rnacentral:rRNA from 1 species